AUCGAACGCUGGCGGCGUGCCUAAUACAUGCAAGUCGAACGCAGUUGCGCACGGGUGAGUAACGCGUAGGUAACUGCCUCCUUGCGGGGGAUAACUAUUUGAAACGAUAGCUAAUACCGCAUACUGUGAGAUGGACCUGCGUUGUAUUAGGUAGUUGGUGAGGUAAAGGCUCACCAAGGCGACGAUCCAUAGCCGAACUGAGAGGGUGAACGGGCACACCUGGAAUGGGGAACGGCCCCAGCUCCGACGGGAGGGAGGAAUAGGGAAUCUUCGGGAAUGGACGGAAGGCUGACCGAGGCACGCCGCGGUAGUGAAGAAGGUUUUCGGAGUGUAAAGCUCUGUUGUUAGGGAAGCGGUAACUAACCAGAAAGGGACGGCUAACUACGUGCCAGCAGCCGCGGUAAUUC
rnacentral:rRNA from 1 species